GUGUGUUUGUUUCGGUGUCCUCAGAUGCCUCUGUGGGUGUUUCCUUCCUGUUCAAACUUUAAUUUCACUUUCCUGAAGUAAAUGUUUGUGACUGACGCUGUGAAGAGUACAAACCGAGGAUUGUUUGGUCUCAGUCAGACUGCAAGGACUGCACACGAACACUGGUGACCGAUCACCUGAAUUCAUCUCAUCACUUUUGCGGACACCAUGGGCGCUCGGCAGUCCGUCAUUCAUAUUACGAACAAGACUGAGGGCUACACCCUUCAAAACCCCAGGUGACCACACUUCUUACUGUGACUGAGAUGCUGCCUGCACAUCACCUGACACCUCACUGAUAUCACUAAUAAAAG